rnacentral:snRNA from 1 species
GUGCUUGCUUCGGCAGCACAUAUACUAAAAUUGGAACGAUACAGAGAAGAUUGGCAUGGCCCCUGUGCAAGGAUGACACGCAAAUUCAUGAAGUGUUCCAUAUUUUU